AAGGCCUUUUUGCUUCUUCCGGGUGACGAGUGGCGGACGGGUGAGUAAUGUCUGGGAAACUGCCUGAUGGAGGGGGAUAACUACUGGAAACGGUAGCUAAUACCGCAUAACGUCGCAAGACCAAAGAGGGGGACCUUCGGGCCUCUUGCCAUCAGAUGUGCCCAGAUGGGAUUAGCUAGUAGGUGGGGUAACGGCUCACCUAGGCGACGAUCCCUAGCUGGUCUGAGAGGAUGACCAGCCACACUGGAACUGAGACACGGUCCAGACUCCUACGGGAGGCAGCAGUGGGGAAUAUUGCACAAUGGGCGCAAGCCUGAUGCAGCCAUGCCGCGUGUAUGAAGAAGGCCUUCGGGUUGUAAAGUACUUUCAGCGGGGAGGAAGGUGUUGUGGUUAAUAACCGCAGCAAUUGACGUUACCCGCAGAAGAAGCACCGGCUAACUCCGUGCCAGCAGCCGCGGUAAUACGGAGGGUGCAAGCGUUAAUCGGAAUUACUGGGCGUAAAGCGCACGCAGGCGGUCUGUCAAGUCGGAUGUGAAAUCCCCGGGCUCAACCUGGGAACUGCAUUCGAAACUGGCAGGCUAGAGUCUUGUAGAGGGGGGUAGAAUUCCAGGUGUAGCGGUGAAAUGCGUAGAGAUCUGGAGGAAUACCGGUGGCGAAGGCGGCCCCCUGGACAAAGACUGACGCUCAGGUGCGAAAGCGUGGGGGAGCAAACAGGAUUAGAUACCCUGGUAGUCCACGCCCGUAAACGAUGUCGACUUGGAGGUUGUGCCCUUGAGGCGUGGCUUCCGGGAGCUAACGCGUUAAGUCGACCGCCUGGGGGAGUACGGCCGCAAGGGUUUAAAACUCCAAAUGAAAUUUGGACAGGGCCCGGCAACAAGCGGUGGGAGCAAUGUUGCUUAUCCGAUGCCAACGGCGAAGAAUCCAUUACCCUAUACCUU
rnacentral:rRNA from 1 species